rnacentral:tRNA from 2 species
GGUCCCGUAGUGUAGUGGCUAUCACAUCGGAUUCUGAUUCCGGGGACCUGGGUUCGAUUCCCAGCUGGACCU